CCCUUAGAUGUUCUGGGCCGCACGCGCGCUACACUGAUUCAUGCAACGAGUUUUGUCCUUGGCUGAAAGGCCUGGGUAAUCUUUGAACGUGAAUCGUGCUGGGGAUAGAUGAUUGCAAUUAUUCAUCUUCAACGAGGAAUUCCUAGUAAACGCAAGUCAUCAGCUUGCAUUGAUUACGUCCCUGCCCUUUGUACACACCGCCCGUCGCUCCUACCGAUUGAAUGGUCCGGUGAAGCGUUCGGACCGUGGCCUUUGGACGGUUCGCCGUCUGUUGGCUGCGGGAAGUUCGUUAAACCUUAUCAUUUAGAGGAAGGAGAAGUCGUAACA
rnacentral:rRNA from 1 species